ensembl:snRNA U6 U6 spliceosomal RNA
GUGCUUGCUUCAGCAGCACGUGUACUAACAUUGGAACGAUACAGAGAAGAUUUGCAUGGCCCCUCCAUGAAGAUGACACAUGAAAUUUUUAUGUGAAAGUGACACAA